AAUAGGACAGGUUGUUGUGCUGGCAAUCCAAGCCAUACAAUGCGUGGGAUGCAUGUAGCCACAAGGAAUCACAUGGUAGGUUAAAUUAUAUUUUAAGAAGCUAAGUUUAUCUAUAGUUGACUUGAAAGUUCGAGAGAAUGGACUGCCACUAUCUUGAUUUGCGGUAUUAUCCUACAAAUAUGCCAGGAUUGCUCAAGUAGCAGUUCUCUCAGUGGUGUUUCCACUGAGCUUUGUUGGGAUGGUCUUAAACAUUGUGUUUAUCUGUCGAAGGAAGACUAACUUUCUAGUCAGAAGGAUAGUCUACAUAACUGUCAUCACUACACUACAUCUUGGAGCAUUAUGGCUUAGGAGCAUUCUUGCAUUCAAACUAUGUAGCAAGUAGUUUACUGUGUAUCAUGGCUCUACUGGUCUGCUCUAUCUACUUUACCGUGGUAACGAAACUGUGUGGUUUUUUCUCAAGAAGGCAUCCUUGGACUGACCGAUUUCAUUUGCUAUUGGAAUAUCUAUUUGUCAUGAUACUAUUGCUUUUACGGGGUUGACAUUAAGUGUGCUUUUAUAUUAUACCAGAAAAACCUUCACUAUGAGCAUCACCCAGAAAAUACUUAUUGCAGCCAUACCACCUGCACUAGUACUAAUAAGCUUGAUAGGAAACGUUGUUUUAACAAUAUGGGUUUGUACUCUAUGGAGAAGGCAAAUCGAAAGGAGAAGAGAUGUACUGAAAGAAAUUGUAAUAUUUUUUGCACUAUUUUUCCUUACUCUGCUUGUGUUUGGCAUUAAUCUUUGCAUUUUCUUUACAAUGAUACCACAGACAGUACUAUAUCCUCCUCUAUCGUGUUUCUCAUUCCUAGUUUUUGGCUACAUGUGCUACAGUUUUAGACAUGUGAGGUUUGCCAACAGAACAGAUAUUGAGACGGCUGGUCGAAGACUACGAACUGCUCCACCCUCCACUAGAGUCAGCCUACCUACGGACACAGCCGAUCAUGCUCCCAACUUCCUGAGCCCAAGCACAGCUGAGCCUUCAGAAGUGACACCAUUGAUAAAUUAAUUAGUGACACACGAGAUUGUACACAUUCGUUAAGCCAUGCUGAUUGUAUCUAUGUUGUUUUCAUUUUCACUUUGCACAUAUACGCUUGAAAUUGUGUUUAAUUCUAAAAUUUGAUGAUAGUGGCUCCCCCAAAUGAGUUGCCCAUUAUCCCAGCCAUGCUCAAAUGAAAGAUAACCUUUGAACUGACCAAAGAUGAGGUCAAAUCAA